CUUCCGUAUUCUAUUAAAGGGGGGCGUUCCAGUAAUUUCCCCACUUUAAGUGGGGCGGGGAGCCCCAUAGGGGGGGCCCCAAACCCAACUCCCAUUUCAUAGCCCUUCAAAUUCCCCUUCAAUCGCAUCUCUCUUCCCCUUUCGGUUCCUGUUUCGAAUCAGAUAUUUUUCUCUCAUCGCUCCCUUCCUCUCUUCCCCUUCAAUCGAAUCUCUCAUGGCCCCUUCCAAUUCCCCUUGAAUCGCAUCUCUCUUCCCCUCUCGGUUCCUGUUUCGAAUCUGUGUAACUGAGAUGUUUAUGGGUGGCAUAGAAUUGAUGACUUCGACUCUGUGUAAAUCGCCCCUCCCGGCUUCAUUCCUCUCAACGCCACGACGGCGACACCGCAGGCCGAUUCUCUACAUCAGAUACAAUACCUGAUGUUUUGUAGAAACCCUAAAUCAGAUUCAGGCAGAUGCUCUACAUUAUAUCCUCCAUCAAGACAUAAGCUUGAGGAUUCCCCCAAAUUUUAUUUUCACCAUUAUGCCUUAAGUGAUAUCAAAAAUUGCAGCAAGUUGCUUUUGGGCUAUUGAUAAAGAAUGCAGGUGAGUAACAUGUUUGAUAAUUAAGAGUCUUUCAUGUUAAGAGUCUCAAGUUUCCUAGAGGGAUAAUUAAAAACCAAAAUUAUCAUGUACAUCUUUCAUGUUUAACAUGAUAAAUAUAUAAUGAGCAGAUAUUCUUACUGUUCUGAACAUCAUACAGCACCACCAACUUAUCAGUUAAGAUAUUUUCUACAUUACAGUGUAGCUAUUUCAACCAUGGUGAUAUGUCUAAACAGUAUCAGUAAAUCAAUUGGCAAAAAU